rnacentral:rRNA from 1 species
GACGAACGCUGGCGGCGUGCUUAACACAUGCAAGUCGAACGGAAAGGCCCUGCUCUUGUGGGGUGCUCGUGUGGCGAACGGGUGAGUAACACGCGAGUAUCCCGCCCUUGACUUUGGGAUAACUUCAGGAAACUGGGGCUAAUAUCCGAUAGAAGCUCCUGCUGCAUGGUGGGGGUUGGAAAGUUUCGGCGGUUGGGGAUGGACUCGCGGCUUAUCCGCUUGUUGGUGGGGUUGUGGCUUACCAAGGCUUUGACGGGUAGCCGGCCUGAGAGGGUGACCGGCCACAUGGGGACUGAGAUACGGCCCAGACUCGUACGGGAGGCAGCAGGGGGGAAUAUUGCACAAUGGGCGGAAGCCUGAUGCAGCAACGCCGCGUGCGGGAUGACGGCCUUCGGGUUGUGAACCGCUUUCGCCUGUGACGAAGCGUGAGUGACGGUAAUGGGUAAAGAAGCACCGGCUAACUACGUG